AGCUGAGUUUGAUCCUGGCUCAGAUUGAACGCUGGCGGAAUGCUUUACACAUGCAAGUCGAACAGUAGGGGGGGCAACCCCUUGAGAGUGGCGAACGGGUGAGUAAUAUAUCGGAACGUGCCCAGUCGUGGGGGAUAACGUAGCGAAAGUUACGCUAAUACCGCAUACGAUCUAAGGAUGAAAGCGGGGGACUCGCAAGAGCCUCGCGCGAUUGGAGCGGCCGAUAUCAGAUUAGGUAGUUGGUGGGUAAAGCUCACCAAGCCAACGAUCUGUAGCUGGUCUGAGAGACGACCAGCCACACUGGAACUGAGACACGGUCCAGACUCGUACGGGAGCAGCAGUGGGGUAAUUU
rnacentral:rRNA from 1 species